rnacentral:rRNA from 1 species
UUGGGUGUGACUGCGUACCUUUUGUAUAAUGGGUCAGCGACUUAUAUUCUGUAGCAAGGUUAACCGAAUAGGGGAGCCGGAGGGAAACCGAGUCUUAAUUGGGCGUUAAGUUGCAGGGUAUAGACCCGAAACCCGGUGAUCUAGCCAUGGGCAGGUUGAAGGUUGGGUAACACUAACUGGAGGACCGAACCGACUAAUGUUGAAAAAUUAGCGGAUGACCUGUGGCUGGGGGUGAAAGGCCAAUCAAACCGGGAGAUAGCUGGUUCUCCCCGAAAGCUAUUUAGGUAGCGCCUCGUGAAUUCAUCUCCGGGGGUAGAGCACUGUUUCGGCUAGGGGGCCAUCCCGGCUUACCAACCCGAUGCAAACUGCGAAUACCGGAGAAUGUUAUCACGGGAGACACACGGCGGGUGCUAACGUCCGUCGUGAAGAGGGAAACAACCCAGACCGCCAGCUAAGGUCCCAAAGUCAUGGUUAAGUGGGAAACGAUGUGGGAAGGCCCAGACAGCCAGGAUGUUGGCUUAGAAGCAGCCAUCAUUUAAAGAAAGCGUAAUAGCUCACUGGUCGAGUCGGCCUGCGCGGAAGAUGUAACGGGGCUAAACCAUGCACCGAAGCUGCGGCAGCGACACUGUGUGUUGUUGGGUAGGGGAGCGUUCUGUAAGCCUGUGAAGGUGUGUCGUGAGGCAUGCUGGAGGUAUCAGAAGUGCGAAUGCUGACAUAAGUAACGAUAAAGCGGGUGAAAAGCCCGCUCGCCGGAAGACCAAGGGUUCCUGUCCAACGUUAAUCGGGGCAGGGUGAGUCGACCCCUAAGGCGAGGCCGAAAGGCGUAGUCGAUGGGAAACGGGUUAAUAUUCCCGUACUUGGUGUUACUGCGAAGGGGGGACGGAGAAGGCUAUGUUGGCCGGGCGACGGUUGUCCCGGUUUAAGCGUGUAGGUGUGUGUUCCAGGUAAAUCCGGUUCACUUUAACACUGAGGCGUGACGACGAGGCACUACGGUGCUGAAGCAACAAAUGCCCUGCUUCCAGGAAAAGCCUCUAAGCAUCAGGUAACAUCAAAUCGUACCCCAAACCGACACAGGUGGUCAGGUAGAGAAUACCAAGGCGCUUGAGAGAACUCGGGUGAAGGAACUAGGCAAAAUGGUGCCGUAACUUCGGGAGAAGGCACGCUGACACGUAGGUGAAGUGAUUUACUCAUGGAGCUGAAGUCAGUCGAAGAUACCAGCUGGCUGCAACUGUUUAUUAAAAACACAGCACUGUGCAAACACGAAAGUGGACGUAUACGGUGUGACGCCUGCCCGGUGCCGGAAGGUUAAUUGAUGGGGUCAGCGCAAGCGAAGCUCCUGAUCGAAGCCCCGGUAAACGGCGGCCGUAACUAUAACGGUCCUAAGGUAGCGAAAUUCCUUGUCGGGUAAGUUCCGACCUGCACGAAUGGCGUAAUGAUGGCCAGGCUGUCUCCACCCGAGACUCAGUGAAAUUGAACUCGCUGUGAAGAUGCAGUGUACCCGCGGCAAGACGGAAAGACCCCGUGAACCUUUACUAUAGCUUGACACUGAACAUUGAGCCUUGAUGUGUAGGAUAGGUGGGAGGCUUUGAAGUGUGGACGCCAGUCUGCAUGGAGCCGACCUUGAAAUACCACCCUUUAAUGUUUGAUGUUCUAACGUGGACCCGUUACCCGGGUUGCGGACAGUGUCUGGUGGGUAGUUUGACUGGGGCGGUCUCCUCC